UACAGAGGGUGCAAGCGUUAAUCGGAGUUACUGGGCGUAAAGGGCGCGUAGGCGGUCAUGCAAGUGAGAUGUGAAAUCCCCGGGCUUAACCUGGGAACUGCAUUUUAGACUGUGUGACUGGAGUACUGUAGAGGACAGUGGAAUUUCCGGUGUAGCGGUGAAAUGCGUAGAUAUCAGGAGGAACACCUGCGGUGUAGACGGCUUACUGGACGGUAACUGACGCUGAGGCACGAAAGCGUGGGUAGCAAACAGG
rnacentral:rRNA from 1 species